AGUUUUUAUUUAGUUAUCUAGAUUAUAUGGACCAUGUUUUUUUUGCUUAAACUUUGGUGCAUUAAUAUUUAAAUGUGGCAAGGUGUUACAUUUAACCAAAAAACAACACACUAGUGCUUAUCAUAAUGGAUCAGGACCCAUUACUGACGAGAGUGAGAGACAAGGUCUACGGGAGAGCCUAAGAUGAGGAAAUGGAGCUGACCAGAGGCCCAUCCAUUGUGUCAUUCAAUAGCCCAAAGUAGUGGCCCAUGAAAUUAAAAGAACUCAAAAGUCAGAUCGUUGUUUUCUGGAUGCGUCCGUAAUAUGAAUCCGAUGAGGAAGAUGAAGCAAUCUAGAAGCUCGGAUAACUAAGACAUAGAGAGCCACAAUUGCAUGCAGAUGCUCGAGUAUUCAGGAUUAUCCUGCCUGAAGGAGGAAAUCCUAUUGGUGAUAGUCCUUUCGAUUAGAGAGAAGAGUGAUUCAGAGCCUUUAAAGGAGCCACGGUGAAGACGAUGGUUUCGUUCGCGCCACGUUUCAUAGAUAACCAACUGCCAAGCGAUCCGAGUUAAGAAAAUGUGGUGCACGGUACCCGUGAAGUUGGUAACUGCUCGGGCCGUGUCAUCCCAAGAGUCUGAGGGAGAUGUGAGUCCAAUCUUUCUCGACAAUGGCCUCCAGAUGCUUCUUGUGAAGCUACAAUCGAAAAAAUGUGGUUGCGAGAUUCAGGGUGGUUGUUACAUAAGAGGCAGGAGGGAUCCGUUUGGAGACCCCAAGAGAGUAAACGGUCGCGAGUAGGGCAUCGAUUGAGCAAAAACAGCCAGCAGAAUUCCAGAUUGGAAAAUCAGGGGAGUCCGAUAAGGUGAUAGUUGAGAGAUGUAUGUGGACUUGCUCCAUCAACAGUGAACGAGCUGGGGAUAGAAUCCAAGAACUUCCAUUCCAAAGAGUUGAUAAGGAUGAGGAGAGGGGUAUACCAGAGUGGCGAGGUCCAUGAGAAACGAAGCGCUGUAAUAAGGGACCAAAAGGCGACCAGGGGGAAUGCCAGAAGCUGAUAGAGCAGCCAUUUCCAGGAGUUUGCUUAUUAUAUGGAUCAUGUUUUAAACCUUAUUUAAAAUUUGAAAGUGCACUAUUUCUCGAUAAUAUCUUCUAAGAAAAUUAAUUAGUCUUUGGUACAGGUAACAGAUCAUAUCCCAAUUGAAAAAGAAAAGGUGUUUACAUAUUACCAGUGGAAUAUACUAUGAUUAUAUUUAAGUUUGGUUUGAAUUAACAAGGAAUGUCCUCAUUAAAA